ACGGGAGGCAGCAGUGGGGAAUAUUGGGCAAUGGGCGAAAGCCUGACCCAGCGACGCCGCGUGAGGGAAGAAGGUCUUCGGAUUGUAAACCUUAGUCAACAGGGAAGAAGCAAGUGACGGUACCUGUGGAGGAAGCCACGGCUAAUUACGUGCCAGCAGCCGCGGUAAUACGUAGGUGGCGAGCGUUAUCCGGAUUUACUGGGUGUAAAGGGCGCGUAGACGGGGAAGCAAGUCAGAUGUGAAAUCCAUGGGCUCAACCCAUGAACUGCAUUUGAAACUGUUUCUCUUGAGUGCUGGAGAGGUAGAUGGAAUUCCUAGUGUAGCGGUGAAAUGCGUAGAUAUUAGGAAGAACACCAGUGGCGAAGGCGAUCUACUGGACAGUAACUGACGCUGAGGCGCGAAAGCGUGGGGAGCAAACAGGAUUAGAUACCCUGGUA
rnacentral:rRNA from 1 species